CCGAAGAUGUCGACUAGCGUUGGGGUCCUCGAGACCUUUGUGGCGCAGUUAACGCACUAAGUCGACCGCCUGGGGAGUACGGCCGCAAGGUUAAAACUCAAAUGAAUUGACGGGGGCCCGCACAAGCGGUGGAGCAUGUGGUUUAAUUCGAUGCAACGCGAAGAACCUUACCUACCCUUGACAUCGUGCGAACUUUCCAGAGAUGGAUUGGUGCCUUCGGGAGCGCACAGACAGGUGCUGCAUGGCUGUCGUCAGCUCGUGUUGUGAAAUGUUGGGUUAAGUCCCGUAACGAGCGCAACCCUUGUCCCUAUUUGCCAGCGAUUCGGUCGGGAACUCUAGGGAGACUGCCGGUGACAAACCGGAGGAAGGUGGGGACGACGUCAAGUCAUCAUGGCCCUUACGGGUAGGGCUACACACGUGCUACAAUGGCCGGUACAAUGGGUUGCAAAGCGGCGACGUGGAGCUAAUCUCAUAAAGCCGGUCUCAGUCCGGAUCGGAGUCUGCAACUCGACUCCGUGAAGUCGGAAUCGCUAGUAAUCGUGCAUCAGAAUGGCACGGUGAAUACGUUCCCGGGCCUUGUACACACCGCCCGUCACACCAUGGGAGUGGACUGCACCAGAAGUGGUUAGCCUAACUUCGGAGGGCGAUCACCACGGUGUGGUUCAUGACUGGGGUGAAGUCUACAAAGGGGAACCCAAAAAAUUUUAAUAAUG
rnacentral:rRNA from 1 species